rnacentral:rRNA from 1 species
GACGAACGCUGGCGGCGUGCUUAACACAUGCAAGUCGAACGGUAAGGCCUUUCGGGGUACACGAGUGGCGAACGGGUGAGUAACACGUGGGUGAUCUGCCCUGCACUUCGGGAUAAGCCCGGGAAACUGGGUCUAAUACCGGAUAGGACUGCGCGGUGCAUGCCGUGUGGUGGAAAGAUUUAUCGGUGCAGGAUGGGCCCGCGGCCUAUCAGCUUGUUGGUGGGGUAAUGGCCUACCAAGGCGACGACGGGUAGCCGGCCUGAGAGGGCGACCGGCCACACUGGGACUGAGACACGGCCCAGACUCCUACGGGAGGCAGCAGUGGGGAAUAUUGCACAAUGGGCGCAAGCCUGAUGCAGCGAUGCCGCGUGAGGGAUGACGGCCUUCGGGUUGUAAACCUCUUUCAGCAGGGACGAAGCGUGAGUGACGGUACCUGCAGAAGAAGCACCGGCCAACUACGUG